rnacentral:rRNA from 1 species
AUGCUAUGUUGUCGUGAGGCAAUAAAUAUGAUGUGGAACCAACCUCGAGGUCGUCACAUAUUUAACAUUGAUGAUGGAAGGCCAACCCCAAGGUUUGCAGCUUAUGGUGCAACGAAGAGAAGUGUGGUGCACCUUACAAAGUCUCUACAGGUAAAGCCUGGCAUGGUUACGACUGAUCUUCUUAUGUCUGGUGCUACCGCAAAGCAAGCAAAGUUUUUCAUCAAUAUAUUAGCUGAAACUCCUGAUGUGGUUGCGGAUUACCUUGUUCCAAACAUCAGAGAAAUCCCUACCAAGCAAUCCAUGAAGCCGACUUACAUUCGCUUUCUCACAGGCUUGAAAGCCUACUCCAGAAUAUUUUCAAGAAUUGCUUUUGGUGCUCGUAGGAACAAGUAUGUUGCCGAGGAUUAG